rnacentral:lncRNA from 1 species
GCUCUUAGUUGUUUUUAGUUUGAGUAUUUGUUUAAUUCUAUAAAGUCAUUAGUAUCUGAUGCUUCUGCAUAUACAGCAGCUUUCUUCUUCAAUGGCGACUUCUUCCUCUUCACCGAUGGAGACACCUAGAAAAGAGCCCAAGAAGGUGACUCGUGCUCUUGACUUCUCUCCUAUUUCGUGUAUAUUUUAUUGUAUGCUUUUUAUUGUAUAAAAAUUUUGAUUGUCUGCUUACUUGUGUAUAUUUUGCAAAGUUUUGAUCUAUUUUAUUGUUUUGAUCCUCCCCCAUAUUGUGCUGACCUCAAGUUACGCAACUAGGUCAAUUUCUUGUUUUUAACUUUUAGAAACGGAGUUGGGAGUGGGGACAUUUAAUUAACUUCUUGAACAAUGUAAUGUAUAUGAUAGAGUGCAGAGUGUUAAGUCCAGUGGUUAAGCAAUUACAUCAAUUUACAAACGGAAUCUUCUGCAAAAUAUUCUACGUUUGAUGUUUCAUUGUUCAUACCAGAUCUUUGAGAUACGGGGUCAAUACCAUUUGAUGCAUUAAUUCUAUAAGCUAUGCAGACCUAAUGCUGUUGUAAACACUUGUGCCUCCAUCCAGUCUCUUAGAAGUUGGAAUAUAGAUUCAUUGACUUUAUUAAUUGUUGGAUAAUUUUAGGUAGAAAUAUCUUUACUUCUUNACCUGCCACGGUCGGUUAUAAGUGGUCGGUUAUGAGCCGGUCGGGUUUNUGCUGGCACAUGAACCCAGUGGUAGAGCACCCCAUAUAUAAAACACCCAGAGUUUAUGGAAGAACACCCCAUUUAUUGAACACCCCCAGUUUUUUGGUAGAGCACCCCCAUAUAUAACAUUAAAAGUUUUGGUACGUGCUUUUUAGUACUACGUGAAUUUACUUAUUUACCCUUCAUUAUAAAGAAAAAUAAAUCCACCUAAAAUACAUAAUAACAUAACAUAAUAUAAUCCACCUAAAUCCACAUAAUAUAAAGGAAUAAUUGACAAUAAAAUAUUUUUUAAAAAGGCAAGUGUUUUGGUAUUUAUAGUCACUCUUACUACCUUCCUCUUAUAUGGAAGAAGAUAACAAAUGUCGUAUAUUAAAAUAAUUUGGAUUAAUGUUUUCUGCAGGGGCAAUCUAGCAAGCAGCAGCCGCUCAAACUUUGCACAAAUUUGAGCAAGAUUACUAGUUUAAAAUUAAGCGAAGAGAAAAAGCAAUUGAUGAGUGGAACCAAAUUCGCGGCAAUUGCCACCAUUUCUAACAAGAAAGAAAGUUCUUCAACACUUCCGCUAUGGCUUGCGGAAGUGUAUGAUGAAGAGGAAAAUAUCUUUUUUUUU